rnacentral:rRNA from 1 species
UCGAGAGGCUUCGGCAAUGGGGGAAACCCUGACCGAGCGACGCCGCGUGGGGGAUGAAGGCCCUUGGGUUGUAAACCCCUUUUGUUCGGGAAGAAAUGCGAUCAGGUGAACAAUCUGGUCGUUUGACGGUACCGGACGAAUAAGCUCCGGCUAACUCCGUGCCAGCAGCCGCGGUAACACGGGGGGAGCAAGCGUUGUUCGGAAUCACUGGGCGUAAAGGGCGUGUAGGCGGUCAGGUAAGUGUGAUGUGAAAUCCCUCGGCUCACCCGAGGACCGGCAUCGCAUACUGCUUGGCUUGAGUACGGGAGAGGAUGUGGGAAUUCCUGGUGUAGCGGUGAAAUGCGUAGAUAUCAGGAGGAACACCGGUGGCGAAGGCGCACAUCUGGCCCGAUACUGACGCUGAGGCGCGAAAGCUAGGGGAGCAAACGGGAUUAGAUACCCCGGCAGUCCUAGCCGUAAACGAUGGGCACUUGGUGUUGGGGGUAUUGAGUCCCCCGGUGCCGGAGUUAACACGUUAAGUGCCCCGCCG